rnacentral:misc_RNA from 1 species
AACACUGUUAACCUGCGGUACCUGCGGAAGGAUCAUUACAGAGUUGCAAAACUCCCUAAACCAUUGUGAACGUUACCUAAACCGUUGCUUCGGCGGGCGGCCCGGGUCCUUCCCGGCGCCCAUCGGCCCUCGCGGGCGCCCGCCGGAGGUAAACCAAACUAUUGCAUUGUAUGGCCUCUCUGAGUCUUCUGUACUGAAUAAGUCAAAACUUUCAACAACGGAUCUCAGAUCGGAAGAGCA